rnacentral:rRNA from 1 species
UGGGGGAUAUUGCGCAAUGGGGGAAACCCUGACGCAGCAACGCCGCGUGAAGGAUGAAGGUCUUCGGAUUGUAAACUUCUUUUAUUAAGGACGAAAAUUGACGGUACUUAAUGAAUAAGCUCCGGCUAACUACGUGCCAGCAGCCGCGGUAAUACGUAGGGAGCAAGCGUUGUCCGGAUUUACUGGGUGUAAAGGGUGCGUAGGCGGCUUUGCAAGUCAGAUGUGAAAUCUAUGGGCUCAACCCAUAAACUGCAUUUGAAACUGUAGAGCUUGAGUGAAGUAGAGGCAGGCGGAAUUCCCCGUGUAGCGGUGAAAUGCGUAGAGAUGGGGAGGAACACCAGUGGCGAAGGCGGCCUGCUGGGCUUUAACUGACGCUGAGGCGCGAAAGCGUGGGGAGCAAACAGGAUUAGAUACCCUGGUAGUCCACGCUGUAAACGAUGAAUACUAGGUGUGGGAGGACUGACCCCUUCCGUGCCGCAGUUAACACAAUAAGUAUUCCACCUGGGGAGUACGACCGCAAGGUUGAAACUCAAAGGAAUUGACGGGGGCCCGCACAAGCAGUGGAUUAUGUGGUUUAAUUCGACGCAACGCGAAGAACCUUACCAGGACUUGACAUCCAACUAACGAAGUAGAGAUACAUCAGGUGCCCUUCGGGGAAAGUUGAGACAGGUGGUGCAUGGUUGUCGUCAGCUCGUGUCGUGAGAUGUUGGGUUAAGUCCCGCAACGAGCGCAACCCCUAUUGUUAGUUGCUACGAAAGAGCACUCUAGCGAGACUGCCGUUGACAAAACGGAGGAAGGCGGGGACGACGUCAAAUCAUCAUGCCCCUUAUGUCCUGGGCUACACACGUAAUACAAUGGUGGCGAACAGAGGGAAGCAAAGCCGCGAGGUAGAGCAAAACCCUAAAAGCCAUCUCAGUUCGGAUUGCAGGCUGCAACUCGCCUGCAUGAAGCUGGAAUUGCUAGUAAUCGCGGAUCAGAAAGCCGCGGUGAAUACGUUCCC